UACCAGCUCUCCGAGUUGUAGGGAUGAUUAUUGGGCUUAAAGCGUCCGUAGCUGGCUUAGCAAGUCUCCUGUUAAAUUCAGCGACCUAAUCGUUGAGCCGCGGGAGAUACUACUAGGCUAGGAGGCGGGAGAGGUCGACGGUACUUUCGGGGUAGGGGUGAAAUCCUAUAAUCCCGGGAGGACCACCAGUGGCGAAGGCUGUCGACUAGAACGCGCUCGACGGUGAGGGACGAAAGCGGGGGGAGCGAACCGGAUUAGAUACCCGGGUAGUCCCAGCUGUAAAUUAUGCGGGCUAGGUGUUGGGGUGGCUACGGGCCACUUCAGUGCCGCAGGAAAGCCAUUAAGCCCGCCGCCUGGGGAGUACGGCCGCAAGGCUGAAACUUAAAGGAAUUGGCGGGGAGCACCACAAGGCGUGAAGCUUGCGGUUC
rnacentral:rRNA from 1 species